GAUGAACGCUGACAGAAUGCUUAACACAUGCAAGUCAACUUGAAUUUGGGUUUUUAACUUAGGUUUGGGUGGCGGACGGGUGAGUAACGCGUAAAGAACUUGCCUCACAGCUAGGGACAACAUUUGGAAACAAAUGCUAAUACCUAAUAUUAUGAUAAUAGGGCAUCCUAUAAUUAUGAAAGCUAUAAGCGCUGUGAGAGAGCUUUGCGUCCCAUUAGCUAGUUGGAGAGGUAACGGCUCACCAAGGCGAUGAUGGGUAGCCGGCCUGAGAGGGUGAUCGGCCACAAGGGGACUGAGACACGGCCCUUACUCCUACGGGAGGCAACAGUGGGGAAUAUUGGACAAUGGACCAAGAGUCUGAUCCAGCAAUUCUGUGUGCACGAUGAAGUUUUUCGGAAUGUAAAGUGCUUUCAGUUGGGAAGAAAGAAAUGACGGUACCAACAGAAGAAGUGGCGGCUAAAUACGUG
rnacentral:rRNA from 1 species